GCUUUCGAGCACAUUUCACCCCUUUGGGAUUCUAUCCCGAGGGCUGUGCCUGUCUGAGGGUCGGU
rnacentral:rRNA from 1 species